GCCAUGAACGCGGCUUGACUGUUUUGUAUUGGGUUUAUCCACCUUAACGUUUGAAGGCGGUUCGUCCGUCGCCCGCUCGGCUAGUUCUGAAAAUAUUACAGAGAAACUCAAGUGAUUGUAUUGAACUACUAGUAUCCUCACAUCGCUAUGUUCUCCAUCAGUUCAAAUAAAUCUUUGGUACUCUUGCGGUUCUGCAGCAGGGCUGCUUGUCGGACGAGGACAAGUCGCGUCAAUUGUGAACAUCAGAACUAAGGACAUUCUUGAUGAAGAUGAACGCAAAACGUGUAUGCGGGCCCAUGGAAUCGCUGCUGCUUGCCUUGUUAUCUUUCUCCCUUGUUCGAGGUCACACUACUAGCCGACCAGGUGCGAAUCCGGCGGAGGGCAAUGGUGCUGGGUUCAGUGUCGGCGGUCUGAAGUCGGUCCUGGAGAACACUGUGUCCCCUGCCUUCGGUGCCACCAUCAUCAUCAUCAUCACCGUUAUUGUGUCGGGGAGCGCCUAUCUCUGUUUCCUGAAGUACGUCUGUACGGGCUGCUGCAAAGCCACUCAGGUGGCUCCAGUCACACACCUGGACCCUAACAAGAGUGAAGAACAGGUGUAGUCAGGAAUAGGUGUAGUGUGGGACAGGUGUAGUGUGUAACGGGUGUAGUUUGUAAUGAGGUGUCGUGAAGGACAGGUGUAGUGAGGGACAGGUAUAGUGAGGUAUGGGUGUAGUGAGGUAUGGGUGUAGUGAGGGACGGGUGUAGUGAGGGACAGGUGUAGUGAGGGACAGGUGUAGUGAGGGACGGGUGUAGUGAGGGACAGGUGUAGUGUGUAACGGGUGUAGUGUGUAACGGGUGUAGUGAGGGACGGGUGUAGUGUGUAAUGAGGCGUAGUGAGGGACGGGUGUAGUGUGUAAUGAGGCGUAGUGAGGGACGGGUGUAGUGUGUAACAGGUGUAGUGAGGGACGGCUGUAGUGAGGGACAGGUGUAGUUUGGUACAGGUGUAGUGUGUAAUGAGGCGUAGUGUGUAACGGGUGUAGUGUGGGACGGGUGUAGUGUGGGACGGGUGUAGUGUGGGACGGGUGUAGUGUGUAACGGGUGUAGUGUGUAACGGGUGUAGUGUGUAACGGGUGUAGUGAGGGACGGGUGUAGUGUGUAACGGGUGUAGUGUGUAACGGGUGUAGUGUAGGGACGGGUGUAGUGUGUAACGGGUGUAGUGAGGGACGGGUGUAGUGUGUAACGGGUGUAGUGAGGGACGGGUGUAGUGAGGGACGGGUGUAGUGAGGGACGGGUGUAUUGUAGGGAGGUGUGUGGAAUACUGACCUCAUUCUGGACCAUUCUUUCCCUGGCAUUUCAGCACUUGAUGGAAUCCUUCAGUUCAUCUCUUUCAUGUUUAAUGACUGUGAACACGAGUGAUUUAUUGAGCUCAUUGAAGAGUUGUGUGUGUAAGUGAUUACUGUUCUGAUCUUUGCCCGCCACCAACACCUCCCAUCCAAGAGACCCUCAGAGAGACAGACGGAUGUGAUUCAAAAAGAAAGGCUGCAAAAUGAUCACACACAGACAAUAGAAAAUUAAGUGGCUCAACCAAGCCUGACAUUAAUUGAGUAAACUGCCUGUGAGCCUUUGUGUCUGCAGUGGCUUAUGCAUUUGUGUGAUUAUUAAUGUGUGUUUUAUUUGUGUGGGUUUGAGUAUCUAAGUGAGUGUGUGUUUGUUUCCAAAGGGAGCAACCUGCUAUGACUGAUGUGAGAAAGUAGGAACACGUAAUUUCUGGGGAUUUCGAAACCUCACCUCCCUUUUCUGUUUUUCUUUACCUGAUCAUCUCUCUUAUUACAUUUCUUCUUUCUUCCUCCUUAUGAUACAGUACAUAAUCACACCAGAACCAAUUACAGUGCCAAGUCACCAAACAAUAGACAUUUUCAUUUAUGCUGAUUGUCUCCAUGCAAAGCUGCGUGAAGAGAAGCCAAUUGUACUUCCUUAAUCACAACAGAGACACUGUAUCAAACUAAUUAUCCUCACCCACAGAAGCUUUCAACUCAGUUUUUUUUAUAAACUCAGCUUUUGCAGUGUUGCACAGCGCGUUAUUUUCUAAAUGUGUUUUUUUGUUGAAAAUGAGUGAUUAAAAUGUCUCCAUACCCAAUCCAUCCUAAGAGGAUUUAUCUGUGAUGUGUGCCAGAAUGAAAGAUCGAAAGUGACAGGA
ensembl:lncRNA